UGGUAACCUGGAAAAUGACAGGGGGAGUCUCGGUGGGCUGAAUGGCCUCGUGUGCGCGGUCAGGAUGCAGGCCCGUGGUCGGCCACUUUCCCGUCAGAUAGCCACCAACUGGCCGCCCACCCAGGACACUAUUGUUGGGGGGCAGUGAAUGGACCUCUCAGGUUCUGGACUGGAAGGAACCCAAAUUCCACCCCGUGCUUUCCCCUCGGAGUGUCCUCACCCCCUGCCGACAGGCUGUAUCCAGGCUUCUGGAACUAUUUACACAAAACUGCUGGUGAGAAAGCAAGAGGCACAAAAGGGCGAAUGAGGAAAACAAGAGAAUUACAGACCAGUUAGCCUAACAUCUGUGGUGAAGAAAUUGAUGCUGAGUCCACAAUCAAGGAUGGGGGUAACGGAGGACCUUGGAAAUUUUCAGUGAAUCAGGGAUAGCCAAGAAUGGAUUCACAAGAGAUGCUGCCUGACUUGCGGAAUAUUUCCAGAAUUGAGAUUUUCAACACCCACAAUAUUUUGCUUUUGCAAAUACAAUGACAUUUUACUGAAGUUUUUUUUUGUCUUGCACUCAUCAGGACAAUUCACAAGAAACACCAAUAUAAAAAGGAAAACAACAUUUACAUUGUACAAUAAGAGUUCUAAUUGGUUGAUAAGUGGACGCUGAUUGAUAGAGUGUUGUUAUUAAGGAUGCACGAAAUACUGACAAUGACUGACAGAUAACUGUCAAGAUUUAAGUUUUAAUCCAGACAGAUCGACUCCAAUUUGUCACAGCAUUGCUCUAAAUGAGUCACUUGGCCAAAAAAAAACAUCUCUCUCUCUCAUAGAAUAUAAAUGUUGUUAUUGCUUUACAUUGGUAUUUCUUGCAAAUUGCUUUGACGUGUGCAUGAUGUGAACCUUCAACAAAAUGUAUCAUUUUUCAACAAUACACAACUUCUGUAUUACCAAACAACUGUUUUGCUUUUGUUCUCUGUACAUGGUUUGGUUUCUGAAAGUACAAGCAGCACAAGCCAGAAAUCUCUGGUAAUUUCACAUUUAGGACUUCUGUUUCAAUUUGCAACCUCAAAAAAAAAAAUAUCAAUCUAUGGCAAUUUAAUCCUAUGUUAGUUAACAACCAAACCCAGACUUCCACUUCUAGUAAUCAAUAUGAAAUUACAGUUCUGUUACUGGGCAUUAGUGAACAAGAGAGAGAAGCAGAAGAGACCAAAGUAUCUGGGGAAAUCUGGAUCAGAAGUAUUUAGCUGAAUAGGUUGCAGCACGUCUUCUCCUAUGAGGAGAGAUGCUAAAUGGAUAACUUCCGUAUUGCUCAAGUCUGGCAUUUCAGCCAACUUAAUCACCAUUGUUCAAUGGUUUGUAAUGUAAAAGGAAGAUUAUGAGAUGAUGUGUCACACAAAAUACAAAUCUCUCAUUUUGACAUUUGUCUGGAACUUGCGCUCCCAAAAAUAAAAUGAUAAUGUAAUCUUUUAACUCUGUUAGCAAACCCAGACUUAAGAAGAAAUAAAAAUCUUCCAAAACA